rnacentral:rRNA from 1 species
GAUGAACGCUGGCGGCGUGCUUAACACAUGCAAGUCUAACGAUGAAGCCCAGCUUGCUGGGUGGAUUAGUGGCGAACGGGUGAGUAACACGUGAGUAACCUGCCCUUAACUCUGGGAUAAGCCUGGGAAACUGGGUCUAAUACCGGAUAGGAGCGCCUACCGCAUGGUGGGUGUUGGAAAGAUUUAUCGGUUUUGGAUGGACUCGCGGCCUAUCAGCUUGUUGGUGAGGUAAUGGCUCACCAAGGCGACGACGGGUAGCCGGCCUGAGAGGGUGACCGGCCACACUGGGACUGAGACACGGCCCAGACUCCUACGGGAGGUAGCAGUGGGGAAUAUUGCACAAUGGGCGAAAGCCUGAUGCAGCGACGCCGCGUGAGGGAUGACGGCCUUCGGGUUGUAAACCUCUUUCAGUAGGGAAGAAGCGAAAGUGACGGUACCUGCAGAAGAAGCACCGGCUAACUACGUG